rnacentral:rRNA from 1 species
GUGGAGGGUGUGGGAGUGAGAAUGCAGGCAUGAGUAGCGAAUGCAGAGUGAGAAACUCUGCCGCCGGAUGACCAAGGGUUCCUGGGCCAGGCUAAUCCGCCCAGGGUAAGUCGGGACCUAAGGCGAGGCCGACAGGCGUAGUCGAUGGACAACGGGUUGAUAUUCCCGUACCCGAGCAUGUGCGCCCAUGACGAGGCGUUUGAUACUAACCACCCAAAGC